UGGGGAAUUUUGGACAAUGGGGGAAACCCUGAUCCAGCCAUCCCGCGUGUGCGAUGAAGGCCUUCGGGUUGUAAAGCACUUUUGGCAGGAAAGAAACGUCAUGGGUUAAUACCCCGUGAAACUGCCGGUACCUGCAGAAUAAGCACCGGCUAACUACGUGCCAGCAGCCGCGGUAAUACGUAGGGUGCAAGCGUUAAUCGGAAUUACUGGGCGUAAAGCGUGCGCAGGCGGUUCGGAAAGAAAGAUGUGAAAUCCCAGAGCUCAACUUUGGAACUGCAUUUUUAACUACCGGGCUAGAGUGUGUCAGAGGGAGGUGGAAUUCCGCGUGUAGCAGUGAAAUGCGUAGAUAUGCGGAGGAACACCGAUGGCGAAGGCAGCCUACUGGGAUAACACUGACGCUCAUGCACGAAAGCGUGGGGAGCAAACAGGA
rnacentral:rRNA from 1 species